AUAUUAGUCCCUAUGCAGGAACCUUUCACAUGACCUGUACAGUCAUAUACUUGGAAUCUACUU
rnacentral:lncRNA from 1 species